GCAGUCGAGCGGUAGCACAGAGAGCUUGCUCUCGGGUGACGAGCGGCGGACGGGUGAGUAAUGUCUGGGAAACUGCCUGAUGGAGGGGGAUAACUACUGGAAACGGUAGCUAAUACCGCAUAAUGUCGCAAGACCAAAGAGGGGGACCUUCGGGCCUCUUGCCAUCAGAUGUGCCCAGAUGGGAUUAGCUAGUAGGUGGGGUAACGGCUCACCUAGGCGACGAUCCCUAGCUGGUCUGAGAGGAUGACCAGCCACACUGGAACUGAGACACGGUCCAGACUCCUACGGGAGGCAGCAGUGGGGAAUAUUGCACAAUGGGCGCAAGCCUGAUGCAGCCAUGCCGCGUGUAUGAAGAAGGCCUUCGGGUUGUAAAGUACUUUCAGCGGGGAGGAAGGUGUUGAGGUUAAUAACCUCAGCAAUUGACGUUACCCGCAGAAGAAGCACCGGCUAACUCCGUGCCAGCAGCCGCGGUAAUACGGAGGGUGCAAGCGUUAAUCGGAAUUACUGGGCGUAAAGCGCACGCAGGCGGUCUGUCAAGUCGGAUGUGAAAUCCCCGGGCUCAACCUGGGAACUGCAUUCGAAACUGGCAGGCUAGAGUCUUGUAGAGGGGGGUAGAAUUCCAGGUGUAGCGGUGAAAUGCGUAGAGAUCUGGAGGAAUACCGGUGGCGAAGGCGGCCCCCUGGACAAAGACUGACGCUCAGGUGCGAAAGCGUGGGGAGCAAACAGGAUUAGAUACCCUGGUAGUCCACGCCGUAAACGAUGUCGACUUGGAGGUUGUGCCCUUGAGGCGUGGCUUCCGGAGCUAACGCGUUAAGUCGACCGCCUGGGGAGUACGGCCGCAAGGUUAAAACUCAAAUGAAUUGACGGGGGCCCGCACAAGCGGUGGAGCAUGUGGUUUAAUUCGAUGCAACGCGAAGAACCUUACCUACUCUUGACAUCCAGAGAACUUUCCAGAGAUGGAUUGGUGCCUUCGGGAACUCUGAGACAGGUGCUGCAUGGCUGUCGUCAGCUCGUGUUGUGAAAUGUUGGGUUAAGUCCCGCAACGAGCGCAACCCUUAUCCUUUGUUGCCAGCGGUCCGGCCGGGAACUCAAAGGAGACUGCCAGUGAUAAACUGGAGGAAGGUGGGGAUGACGUCAAGUCAUCAUGGCCCUUACGAGUAGGGCUACACACGUGCUACAAUGGCGCAUACAAAGAGAAGCGACCUCGCGAGAGCAAGCGGACCUCAUAAAGUGCGUCGUAGUCCGGAUUGGAGUCUGCAACUCGACUCCAUGAAGUCGGAAUCGCUAGUAAUCGUAGAUCAGAAUGCUACGGUGAAUACGUUCCCGGGCCUUGUACACACCGCCCGUCACACCAUGGGAGUGGGUUGCAAAAGAAGUAGGUAGCUUAACCUUCGGGAGGGCGCU
rnacentral:rRNA from 1 species